rnacentral:rRNA from 1 species
GACGAACGCUGGCGGCGUGCUUAACACAUGCAAGUCGAACGGAAAGGCCCUGCUUUUGUGGGGUGCUCGAGUGGCGAACGGGUGAGUAACACGUGAGUAACCUGCCCUUGACUUUGGGAUAACUUCAGGAAACUGGGGCUAAUACCGGAUAGGAGCUCCUGUUGCAUGGUGGGGGUUGGAAAGUUUCGGCGGUUGGGGAUGGACUCGCGGCUUAUCAGCUUGUUGGUGGGGUAGUGGCUUACCAAGGCUUUGACGGGUAGCCGGCCUGAGAGGGUGACCGGCGACAUUGGGACUGAGAUACGGCGCAGACUCCUACGGGAGGCAGCAGUGGGGAGUAUGGCACAAUGGGCGGAAGCCGGAUGCAGCGACGCCGCGUGCGGGAUGACGGCCUUCGGGUUGUAAACCGCUUUCGCCUGCGACGAAGCGUGAGUGACGGUAAUGGGUGAAGAAGCACCGGCUAACUACGUG